rnacentral:lncRNA from 1 species
AAAUCCUUGUUAACACAUUCGAUGCUUUGGAACACGAAACAUUAAACGCCAUUGAAAAUUUCAACAUGGUCGGCAUCGGACCUUUAAUCCCAUCUUCUUUCUUGAACUCAAAUGACUCCUUGGAUAAUUCCUUGAGAACCGAUCUUUUUCAAUCCGAUUCAAAAGAUUACUUCCAAUGGUUAGACUCCAAACCAAAAUCGGCUGUCGUUUACGUUUCCUUCGGGAGCAUUGCGGUGUUAACGAAGCAACAAGUGGAGGAAAUCGCUCGAGCUUUAAUAUCCAGCCGGCAACCGUUUUUAUGGGUGGUGAGGAACCGGAAAGAUGGAGGCGAAGAAGAAGAUAAACUGACUUGCAGGGAAGAAUUGGAACAGUUUGGGAGGGUGGUUCCAUGGUGUUCGCAAGUGGAAGUAUUGUCUCAUCCGUCGUUGGGUUGCUUCGUGACGCAUUGUGGGUGGAACUCGACGUUGGAGAGCAUGGUGGCCGGUGUACCGGUGGUGGCUUUCCCUCAAUGGACGGAUCAAUGGACUAAUGCGAAGCUGAUUGAAGAUGUGUGGGGGAAUGGGGUGAGAGUGAGUGCUAAUGAAGAAGGGAUGGUGGAAUGUGAUGAGAUCGUUAGGUGCUUGGAUUUGGUGAUGGGGGAUGAUGAGAAAGGGAUGGAAGUGAAGAAAAAUGUAGAGAAAUGGAAAGGGUUAGCCAGGGAAGCCUCCAUGGAAGGCGGCUCCAUGGAUAUGAAGCUUAAAGCUUUUGUGGAUGAUGUUGCUGAAGCUGGUUGCAAGUAAAUUUAUCAUUUUCAAAUAAAUUCACUGUUAUAAUAGCAGCUAUAAAUAUUGUAACUUCUUUAAUUUCUAAGUUUAUUUCUUUUUCCUUUCCAUCAUCUUUUGUAAAAAAAAAAAAAGUAAGAUUGAAAAGCCGAAACAAAAACUCCUCUUUUUAAGGACCCAAGAGGAGCUGGUCUGUUUAGUCUUUGAGCCCCACCUGUCAAUCUCAAUCUCAAUCAAUGCCACUCACUCGUUUCAUGUCCUAUCCUCGUCUUCCCUUCAUUAAUAUCACUCCACCUUCUAACUUAAUAACUGAUACAUGAUCUCAAAAAAAAAAAGAAAAAAAAAAAACCCAAAGUUUGAAUUCGGUCUAUGAGCUUCCUAAACAAAAUCAGGAUAUGUGAUUAAGCAUGGAUGCUUCCGUUAUCAUAUGGAUUAAGGGUGCCAGUCGGGCUUAUUACGCCCCUCAUCCAACUUUCACCAUUCGAUAUAUGAUUAUAACCUAACCAACAACAGUCAAAUGUGUUGUUGUCGUACCUCUAUCCCUUCAAAAAUCUCUUUACUGUUGCUACCCAUGUCUUCUUUGAUAUAUAUGCAUAUUUUUAACCUUACUGAGCUGUGGACUUCAUUUGAAGUGUAACCAAGUUUUUGCUUUUUUUUCUUUCUUCUUCUUGUGUUUCCUGAAUUUAUAAAUUUUUUUCGAUUGGCUUCUAUUUAUGUUUUUUCAAAGAUUAAUAAUUGAAUUUAAUUAAAAAAUAAUUAAAUUGGUAAAAUAUAUAAAUGUUGAGGACAAACUUCAGUAUUAUCCCUUUUAAUACCUUUCAUCGUACUGGAGCAGGUAUUAUCGUACCAUGAAACUUGAAUAAGCCACCACACAAGUUUAUGCGCAUGUGGUUUUUUCUGGUUGUAUUCUGCUACUAGUCCUUAUACUUUAUGAAAGUGAUGGAUUUAGUCCCAAUACUUCAAUUUAAUCACUUUUAGUCCUGCACUUUUCAAAAUGUUCAAUUUUAGUCCCUAUAUUUUCAGUCUUUUGAAAUUUUCGUCCUAAACCAAAUAAUAGUAGUUCAAUUUGUUUGUUUAAAUUCAAUUACUAGCAUGUAAUUGUAGAUUUAAUAUAUAUUAUCCAUUUUCUUUGCAAAGUCUGUGAAAAACAAAACGGAUUGUUGAGAACAAUCCAAACACUAUCAAACACAGUUUAAAAAAAAAAAAAACAGAACAGCCUAACAUAUACUACUAAGCAGACAAAAACACUUUAACAACAGAUUUCCCCGUUGUAUUCUGCUGCAGAAAAUAGCAGACCAUCCCAGCAGCAUCAUCCAUUCUGCUUCAGCAGCAAAUCACCAAGCAGCUUUAAAGAAGUUUUUCCUUGACAUGCCUGUCUUUGCUAAAGUUUCCGCCAUUCCACUCUUUUUUUGAUUAGUGAUUGCAAACUGGAUUUCGGCAAUAUGUCUACAUCCAUCUUCAAUUUCCGCAAACAACUUCCUUAGCGACCAUGGACGAAGAUUUCUAUAUUUCAACUAAUUCAAUACCGUAUUCAAAUCAAGCUCUAUAAUCAAAGGAAGUUGCACCUUAUGAAACAAAUUUGAAAACAUCUCUAUUGCUACUUUUAUAGCCAUCAGUACUACCAUUUCCAAACCCUCCACUGCACAGUUACCUGAAAAAGAGCUGAAACAACCCCUUUCUCGUCCCGCAACACCCCUCCGCAGCCCGCUCUUUCAUCCAAAGAAACCCCAGCCACAUUAAAUUUCAUCCAACCGCAAGGAGGUGGUUCCCUAUCCAUAACCCGCACAUUCCCCACCCUAUUUAACCAGACUGCUCUUCCUUGGCCACCCCCACCAAUCACUCUCUGUGAAAAUACAUUCCUCAUAGACCACUCUUGCCCAUACAAACGAUCUCAAUUUUGUUUGAUAAAUUAAGUCAAGUGUUGUAGCCUUACCUUCAAACACUUUCUCAUUACGAGAAAUCCAUCCUGACCAACAUGCUGCUGAUACUGCCAGUAACCAUAAACUUUUUUGAAUGCCAGACAAAGACACUCUCCAGCAAAAGGAAAAGAAUUCCUCAAAGUUUGCUACGUCCUUCCAUCUCAACCCCCACCAGCAAAAUAUAAGCGACCAGAAUCUUUUCACAAAGGAGCAUUCAAAAAACAAGUGAUUGGUAGAUUCCGCCACUCUCUCGCACCAUGGACACCCACUAUCCGAAGAGUUGAUAAUAAUUCCUCUACUAAUAAAAAAUUCUUUCGUUGGAACACGAUUAAUCGCCAUCAUCUAUAGGAAGCUACGCUUUCUUGGUGGGACUUUCAAUUUCCAGAUUCUAUCAAACUGAAAUUCUACCGUUCCCAUCCCAUCAUAAGAUAGGAGAGACACAUUCACGACAUUAGUUGCACGCCCAGCUACAAACGAACCUGGCUCGGAUACCAAAAAUGUAGGGAAAAAAUAGUCACAGAAGACUAUUGUCAAACAACGUGUAUGCAAGGAAAAUACUAAACUAUAGAAAAUUUAAAAAGAAAGAAAAGCUGAACUCAAAAUGACUGAAGUUGCUGUAUUAUUCACACACAAAAUGAAAUAAACGUAGGCCUAUAAAUAGCCUUUACACCAUAACAAACUAACGUAAAAAUGUGCAACACUAUUGCACGAUCAUAACAAAAAAUAGAGAAAUAAGGAAAUUAACAAACUAAGCAUAGCACAGCAAAUCUAAAUUUAGAAAAACCGACUUUGAAUCAUUCUCCAACAUCGAAAAUGGUGGAGGGCUGAAUCCAGAGUAAAGUUGACGGGAUGUGAUGUUUACGCGCCACCUCCGUAGCCCAAUGAAGGAGCAAAUAGUAGACAAUGCAAGUGAUGGGUUUACCUUCGUUUUCACUACUUGUUAUAAACUCAGAGAUGGCAUCUCUGCCUCGUCUCUUGAAUUCAGACAUGUAAUUGUCUGUGUCAUUGCCGGGUUUAAUUUCGUCGUCGUAGCUAUCCGAAAAAGGUAAAAACGAUAGGCCUUCAGCAGUGGGGGACUUUGGUCAUGCGACUGAUGACGGAGAUGCUGGUGAUGAAAGUUACACGUGCGUUGAUAGGUACAAGAUGCUUGGCGAAUUGUAAAGUCGGGUUUACGUGGCCUUGUGCAGGAUAGGUCACUACGAUGAAAUGAGGCUGUGACAUGAUGGUGACGGCGGCGAGUGUUGGCGCGUAAUUCGUGAAGGAAAUUAAUGGGUUUUUAUAGUGAAGAGAGGCAUUGAUAAAAGGUGAUGUUUGAGCUGACGAAUUUCAAAGAUUCCUAAACCUUGUUGGACUUAUCUGGUGUUUUUUCAAUGCUUAGGUUGCAGCUUGAUGCAUGAUGCUGUUAGAGAGAGUUUCAUACUACACGACUCUUUGGGGUUUGAAUUUAAUUCACCAAUUACAAUUUUAGUUAAACUAAACCCCAACACUAAACACGUAAGUUCAUAUUUGGUUAAACUACCUACCAAGUUAUCCAUCUAUGCCUAAACAUUUUUUUACUCACUCAAUUUUUUAAACUUUCAAAAUGGUCAUUCAAUUCAUUGGGUUCCAUUUUUUUAUCCAUUUCCAUUAAGCAUCGUUAAAUGCCUGGUAGGGUUAAUUUUUAAAAAUUAUGACUAAAUUGAUACAAUAUGUAAAAUUUGAGGAAAAAAUUUGUUAUUAUACUAAUAUUUAAAUAGUCACUUCAACUUUUUGUCAAACACUUAAUGGAAAUGGACCAAAAAAUAAAUCUGAUUAAUUAUGUGACCAUUUUGAAAGUUUUAAAAGUUGAGUGAAAAAAAAAACUUAAACAUAUUUAAUAGUAUUAAUGUGUCGAACAAUUAAAGUAUCCACUUGUCACAAUAUUAAACCCCACGUAUGAUUGUUUUCUUGAAUAUUGUGUAUAUUAUAUAUGAUAAAAGAUUGUAUAAAAUUAUCAUUCUACGUCAUCCCUAAGAAAAUGAUAAAUUAAAUUUUGUCUCUUACAAAAUUCAAAUUCAACUAAAAAACUAAUAUAGAAUCACAGUUUCAUAUAAACUUUUCUUUUAUAAUAUAUAGGUAUAAUAUAUAUAUUCCAUUUAGCAAUUGUUUUUAACUCUGGUCUUUUAAUUUGUCACAAACAAAAAUUUUGACUUCGAUAUUAAUACUAAAAUAAUAUUUGUCCUUGUAGCGGAAGAAUGUGUGUGACAACGUGAUAAAUAUUUUUCCAAACAAAAUCCAAAAGGAAUUAGGCAUCUUCAAAUUCGUCAGCCCAAACGUCACUGUUUUUCAGUGCCUCUCAUCACUUAUAAAAACACUUUGAUUUCCUUUCUUACUUACUCCAAAUCCGACGUUCGUACAAAAAGACCAGUAGAACUACCUACGUGCCGCCGUCACCACCAUGUCACAGCCUCAUUUCCUCCUAGUGACCUUCCCUGCACAAGGCCACAUAAACCCAACCUUACAAUUUGCCAAGCAUCUUAUACGUAUUGGCGUACGUGUAACUUUCAUCACCUGCAUCUCCGCUCGCCGCCGCAUGACCAAAGUCCCCACUGCUCAAGGCCUAACGUUUUUACCCUUUUCCGAUGGCUACGACGACGGUUUUCAACCCGGCGAUGACAUAGAACAUUACCUAUCUGAAUUGAGGAGACGAGGCAAAGAAGCCAUCUCCGAGUUUAUAACAAGCAGUGAAUACGAAGGCAAACCCGUCACUUGCAUUGUCUACACCCUGUUCAUCCAUUGGGCCUCGGAGGUGGCGCGUAAACAUCACAUCCCGACAGCUUUACUUUGGAUUCAACCCGCCACCGUUUUCGACAUCUAUUAUUUUUACUUCAACGGGUACGAAUCCACCAUUAAAGCUCCAGUUGAUGAAACAAACCCAAAGCGUUCAAUAAAAUUACCAGGUCUGCCGCUACUCGCCACCCGCGACCUUCCGUCGUUCGUCACCGCUUCAAACGUUUACCGUUGGGCACUGUCGUUGUUCCAAGAACAAAUGGAUAUCCUCGCUGAUGAAUCCAACCCCAAAAUCCUUGUUAACACCUUCGAUGCUUUGGAACAAGAAGCAUUAAAUGCCAUUGAAAAUUUCAACAUGGUCGGCAUCGGACCUUUAAUCCCAUCUUCUUUCUUGAACUCAAAUGACUCCUUGGAUAAUUCCUUGAGAACCGAUCUUUUUCAAUCCGAUUCAAAAGAUUACAUCCAAUGGUUAGACUCCAAACCAAAAUCGGCCGUCGUUUACGUUUCCUUCGGGAGCAUUGCGGUGUUAACCAAGCAACAAGUGGAGGAAAUCGCUCGAGCUUUAAUAGCCAGCCGGCGACCGUUUUUAUGGGUGGUGAGGAACUGGAAAGAUGGAGUCGAAGAAGAGAAAGAAGAAGAAAAACUGACUUGGAGGGAAGAAUUGGAACGGUUUGGGAUGGUGGUUCCAUGGUGUUCGCAAGUGGAAGUAUUGUCUCAUCCGUCGUUGGGUUGUUUCGUGACGCAUUGUGGGUGGAACUCGACGUUGGAGAGCAUGGUGGCCGGUGUACCGGUGGUGGCUUUCCCUCAAUGGACGGAUCAAGGGACUAAUGCGAAGCUGAUUGAAGAUGUGUGGGGGAAUGGGGUGAGAGUGAGUGCUAAUGAAGAAGGGAUGGUGGAACGUGAUGAGAUCGUUAGGUGCUUGGAUUUGGUGAUGGGGGAUGAUGAGAAAGGGAUGGAAGUGAAGAAAAAUGUAGAGAAAUGGGAAGGGUUAGCCAGGGAAGCCUCCAUGGAAGGCGGCUCCAUGGAUAUGAACCUUAAAGCUUUCGUGGAUGAUGUUGCUCAAGGUUGUUGGAAGUAAAUUUAUCAUUUUCAAAUCAAUUCACUGUUAUAAUAGCAGCUAUAAAUAUUGUGAUAGCAACAAUAUCAAUUCACUGUUGCAAAUAAAUUUUUAAUUUGUGUUUGUAUUAAAUGUAUGCUUUAAUUAAUUUUGGUGUAACGUUUAAGUUUUUUUAAAGAUUAAUAAUUAAAUUUGGGUAAAAUCAAAAAAUUUGGUUAACCGAUUGGAUUCGGUUAAUCGGUUGGUUAAUUAAAUUUUUUCGGUGAAGAGUCGAUUAAUUAUUUUCUCAUUUUCCGGUUAACGGCUAAUUCAGUUCGAAACCGGUCGGUUAACUGAAUUGUUUUGAUUUAAUCGAAAAAUUAAUAAAUAAAAUUAUAAUAUAUAAAUAGGCUCACUAUUCACCUAAGUCCAACCCAAACCCAAGUAUCCAACCUAACCCAAUCAAAUCAUAAAAAUUACAGAUAAUUUAUGUAUUAAUUUCAAGACUUAUGUAAUGUUUUUAAUUAUGUAGUGAUUCAAUUCGGUUAAUUCGGGUAAUUCGAGUAAUUCGGUUAAUUCGGGUAAUUUGGGUAAUUCGAUUAAUUUUUAACCAAAAAUAAAAAAUAUAUGAUUUUCGGUUAAUUUGGUUAACCGACUGAAUUAACCGAAAAGUUUUUGAUUCGGUUAGUUUUUAUUUUUUUAAAAUUCGAUUCAGUUAAUAGUUAAAAAUAUUGAAAGUUCAAUUAAUUCAAUUAAUAUUUUUUCGAGUCAGUGAACUGACUGAACACCCCUAGUAGCGGAGUAGGUAUUAUCAUACGAAUGAUAAGCCACCACACAAGUUUAUGCGGAUGUGGUUUUCUUGGUUUAAUUUUGCCACAAGUCCCUAUACUUUAUAAAAGUUAUGGAUUUAGUUCCGUUAUUUCAAUUUGAUCACUUUAGUCCUGCACUUUUCAAAAUGUUCAAUUUUAGUCCCUAUACUUUUAAACUUUUGAAAUUUUCAUCCUUAACCAAAAAAUAGUAGUUAAAUUUGUUUGUUUAAUUUCAAUUCCUAGAAAUGUACUAUACAUAUAAUUGUAGAUUUAAUAUAUAUUCUCCAACUGAAUCAUUUUAAGUCCCUAUUUUUUUCGAAUUCUAAAAUUUCCGUCUCAAUACAAAUGAUAGUCACCGAUCCAUUAACUAAAAUUUUAGUAAGUAAUAUGUGAAAAUAGCCAACUAAAAUGCUAGUACACACAUGAUGAUAUGUUUAUUGCAUCAAAUUUUAAAAAUAACAGAAUUUAAUGAAUUUAACAAUUAUUGUUUAGUGAUGACUUUUAAAAUUUAGAAAGUAUGAGCAUUAAAAGUGACCAAAUUAAUGUAUAAUUAAGAAUUAGAUCCACAACUUUUGUAAAGUAAGACUAAUAAUAAAAUUUAAUCUUGUUUUUUUCUUGAAAGAAAUUAAAAGUGACCAUUUAAGUAUUAUAUGUGCUAGGGAUGGGAGAUUAAUACGAAUCGUGGGAUGGAUUUUAAAUAGUUCGAAUUUUUUUUUUGUGUGUGUGGACAAUGAGUAAUUCUUUGCCCUAUAUAAAAGUAUCAUUUUAUCCAUUUAAUAUGUAUAACUAUUUAAAUGGUGAAAUACGAAAAUGCAUUAUAGAAAAGCCUUUAUGUUUAAUUUUUUUGAAACUGUUGUGGAAAACCUUAAAUGUGGUUAAUUGCCUUGCAAACCCUCCUUAUUUAUUAUUUUCUUUUUAUUCCCCUUCAACUCACUACAUUGUGUUUCAACAAGCUCUUAACCUAUUUUUGUAGUUAAAUAGGCCCUUAACUUAUGAUUUUUACUCAUAAAAUCUCUUUGUUUUAAUACUAAAGUAAAUAUGUUUUACUCAUAUUAAAGGGCUUUUUAGUAUUUUAGCCUAGACUGUAUGUUGUUGAACCUGGCACCUGCAUUGUAGAAAUUUUUUGAUUAUUUUCAAUGCUUAAGAACCAAUGAAAACAUAGAUGGAAGGCUAAUAUACUAAAAAGUGCUUAAACUAUUACACUUUGUUUAAGUAAGCUUUUGUACUAUUUUUGUCGUUAAAUAGGCCCUCAAACUAUGAUUUUUACCCAUGAAAGUCCUAAAUUUUAAUAUUAAAGUAAAACUAUUUAAAAAAUAUAUAAAUUAAUUCGCAUUUUAUGUUGAUGUGAAUUUGAUGAGAAGAGUUUAUUAAAUAAAAAAUUAAAAAUUAAAAAUUGUUGAGAGUGCUUAUAUGCAUGACAUGCUUAAUUACUAUUCUGAAAUUGCUGAUUACUUUUUUAGAUUUUAUGUUUAUGUUAAAGUGUAUAUAAUUUUUAUUGCAUCAACAAGAAAUUAAGAUAAGAGCUUGAAAUUCAAAAUAUAUUUACUUUAAUAUUAAAAUAAAAGGCUUUUAUGAGUAAAACUCAUAGGUUAAGAGUUUAUUUAACUACAAAAUUAAGUUAAGGGCUUGUUUAAACACAACCUAGUGAGUUGAAGGGGAAUAAAAAAUAAAAUAUAUAACGAGGGUUUACAAGGCAAUUAGCCACAUCUAAGCGGCACCCUUUCACUUCUUUUUCGUAGUCACUUAAAAUGGAAAAUUUGCAUUUUAAAUCCCUAAAUACUUUAAAUUAUUACAUUUCAGUCUGAUACAAAACAGUACAGUAACAAACAUGCCAUUUUGAUGUAUGUAUAUAUAUACUCGUUUUGCUAUUGUUUUUGACUUCGACUUUUAAUUGGUCACAAAAUUUUUGGAUAAUUUUUUUUAAAAUAAUUAUUUUAGUCCUUGCAGAGCAAGACAGCGGGAUGAAUGGUUUUCCACAAAAUCCAAAAGGAAUUAGGCAUCUUCAAAUUCGUCAGCGCAAACGUCACUGUUUUUCAGUGCCUCUCAUCACUUAUAAAAACACUUCGAUUUCCUUUCUUAGUUACUCCAAAUCCGACGUUCGUAAAAAAAGACCAGGUGAACUACCUACGAGCCGCCGUCACCACCAUGUCACAGCCUCAUUUCCUCCUAGUGACCUUCCCUGCACAAGGCCACAUAAACCCAACCUUACAAUUUGCCAAGCAUCUUAUACGUAUUGGCGUACGUGUAACUUUCGUCACCUGCAUCUCGGCUUGCCGCCGCAUGACCAAAGUCCCCACUGCUCAGGGCCUAACGUUUUUACCCUUUUCCGAUGGCUACGACGACGGUUUUCAACCCGGCGAUGACAUAGAACAUUACCUAUCUGAAUUGAGGCGACGAGGCAAAGAAGCCAUCUCCGAGUUUAUAACAAGCAGUGAAAACGACGGCAAAUCCGUCACUUGCAUUGUCAACACCCUGUUCAUCCAUUGGGCCUCGGAGGUGGCGCGUAAACAUCACAUCCCGACAGCUUUACUUUGGAUUCAACCCGCCACCGUUUUCGACAUCUAUUAUUUUUACUUCAACGGAUACGAAUCCACCAUUAAAGCUCCUGUUGAUGAAACAAACCCCAAGCGUUCAAUAAAAUUACCAGGCCUGCCGCUACUCGCCACUCGCGACCUUCCGUCGUUCGUCACCGCUUCAAACGUUUACCGUUGGGCACUGUCGUUGUUCCAAGAACAAAUGGAUGUCCUCGCUGAUGAAUCCAACCCCAAAAUCCUUGUUAACACAUUCGAUGCUUUGGAACACGAAGCAUUAAACGCCAUUGAAAAUUUCAACAUGGUAGGCAUCGGACCUUUAAUCCCAUCUUCUUUCUUGAACUCAAAUGACUCCUUGGAUAAUUCCUUGAGAACCGAUCUUUUUCAAUCCGAUUCAAAAGAUUACAUCCAAUGGUUAGACUCCAAACCAAAAUCGGCCGUCGUUUACGUUUCCUUCGGGAGCUAUGCUGUGUUAACGAAGCAACAAGUGGAGGAAAUCGCUCGAGCUUUAAUAUCCAGCCGGCGACCCUUUUUAUGGGUGGUGAGGAACCGGAAAAAUGGAGGCGAAGAAGAGAAAGAAGAAGAUAAACUGACUUGCAGGGAAGAAUUGGAACAGUUUGGGAUGGUGGUUCCAUGGUGUUCGCAAGUGGAAGUAUUGUUUCAUCCAUCGUUGGGUUGCUUCGUGACGCAUUGUGGGUGGAACUCGACGUUGGAGAGCAUGGCGGCCGGUGUACCGGUGGUGGCUUUCCCUCAAUGGACGGAUCAAAGGACUAAUGCGAAGCUGAUUGAAGAUGUGUGGGGGAAUGGGGUGAGAGUGAGUGCUAAUGAAGAAGGGAUGGUGGAACGUGAUGAGAUCGUUAGGUGCUUGGAUUUGGUGAUGGGGGAUGAUAAGAAAGGGAUGGAAGUGAAGAAAAAUGUAGAGAAAUGGAAACGGUUAGCCAGAGAAGCCGCCAUGGAAGGCGGCUCCUUGGAUAUGAAGCUUAAAGCUUUUGUGGAUGAUAUUGCUGAAGGAUAUCGUAAGUAAAAUUAUCACUUUCAAAUCAAUUCACUGUUUCAAUAGUAGUUAUUUAAACAGUUAUUAUCGUACCAUGAAACUUGAUUAGGUUUUGCCUUGUAGUAAACAUGCGAAGGACGACCCACCACACAAGUUUAUGCAGAUAUGGUUUUUUUUUUUUUUUUGUUUAAUUUUGCUACUAGUCUCUAUACUUUAUGAAAGUUAUGGAUUUAGUCUCAAUACUUUAAUUUGACCAUUUUUAGUCCUGCACUUUUCAAAAUGUUCAAUUUUAGUCCCUAUACUUUUAGUCUUUUGAAAUUUUAGUCCUGAACCAAAUAAUAGUAGUUAAAUUAUUUUGUUUAAAUUCAAUUACUAGUCAUGUCCUAUGUGUACAAUUAUAGAUUUAAUAAAUAUAUUUCCUAAUUGAAUCAUUUUAAGUCCCUAUUUUUUUCGAAUUCUAAAAUUUCCGUCUCGACACAAAUGAUAGUCACUAAUCCAUUAACUAAAAUUUCAGUAAGUAAUAUGUGAAAAUAUCAAACAGAAAUGCCAUUACACAUAUGAUAAUAUGUUUGUUGCAUCAAAUUUUGAAAAUAACAGAAUUUAAUGAAUUUAACAAUUAUCGUUUAGUGAAGGCUGAAAUUUUAAAAUUUAAAAAGUAAGAGAAUUAAAAAUGACCAAAUUAAAGUAUCAGUAUUAAAUCUGCAACUUUUGUUAAGUAAGACUAAUAAUAAAAUUUAACCUUAUUUUUUUCUUGAAAGAAAUUGAAAGUGACCAUUUAAGUAUAUAAUAUGUGAUUGGGAUUGGAGAAUAUGAAUGGUGUGAUAGAUUUUGAAUGUAGGAAACAAAAUUUUUUGAAAUGUGGUUGUAGGAUGGAGUGGGUUGGAUUUAUUUGUGUGUGGUCAAUGUAUAACUCUUUGCCUUUAUACUAUAUAAAAGUAUCAUUUUAUCCGUUUAAUAUGUAUAACUAUUUAAAUAUGUAGAAAUGUGAAAAUGUAUUAUAGAAAAGCCUUUAUGUUUAAUUUUUUUUAAAAUUUUAUGUUCUAAAGUCACUAAAUUAUUAGUAAAUUUAUGUUUUGAUUACUCAACUUCAAAAAGUUACAAAAUGGUCAUGAGUUAUUAGAAAAUUUUCAUUUCAGUUGUUCAACUAUUCAAAACUUUUUUUGUUUAAGUCAUUACGCUGUUAAGUUCUUUCUAAGUUCAAUUAAUGAGCUCCAACCGAUGAUUUAACAAUCGUAUGGUGGAUUAGUA